rnacentral:rRNA from 1 species
GACAGAGGUGCCGAGCGUUAGGCGGAAUCACUGGGCUUAAAGCGUGUGUAGGCGGGCGAUCAAGUACCUUGUGAAAUCCCACGGCUCAACCGUGGAACCGCUGGGUAUACUGGUUGUCUUGAGCCGGCUAGGGGCGAGCGGAACAGACGGUGGAGCGGUGAAAUGCGUAGAUAUCGUCUGGAACGCCGAAGGUGAAAACAGCUCGCUGGGGCCGCGCUGACGCUGAGACACGAAAGCCAGGGAGGCGAACGGG